ACGGCGCACGGGUGCGUAACACGUGGGUAAUCUGCCCUUCGAUGGGGAAUAACCUCGCGAAAGCGAGGCUAAUUCCGCAUAACAUUCCGGGGAUUUCGGUUCCUGGAUUCAAAGGAGCAAUUCGUCGAAGGAGGAGCCCGCGCACGAUUAGCUAGUUGGUAGGGUAAUGGCCUACCAAGGCUUUGAUCGUUAGCUGGUCUGAGAGGAUGGCCAGCCACACUGGAACUGAGACGCGGUCCAGACUCCUACGGGAGGCAGCAGUGGGGAAUCUUGCACAAUGGGCGAAAGCCUGAUGCAGCGACGCCGCGUGGGGGAUGAAGCAUUUCGGUGUGUAAACCCCUUUCGACCCGGACGAAUGCCUCGCAAGAGGACUGACGGUACGGGUAUAAGAAGCCCCGGCUAACUACGUGCCAGCAGCCGCGGUAAGACGUAGGGGGCCAGCGUUGUUCGGAAUUACUGGGUGUAAAGGGUUCGUAGGCGGUGCGGCAAGUUGGGAGUGAAAUCUCUGGGCUCAACCCAGAGGCUGCUUCCAA
rnacentral:rRNA from 1 species